rnacentral:rRNA from 1 species
GAGUUUGAUCAUGGCUCAGAUUGAACGCUGGCGGCAGGCCUAACACAUGCCGAGUCGAGCGGUAGAGAGAAGCUUGCUUCUCUUGAGAGCGGCGGACGGGUGAGUAAUGCCUAGGAAUCUGCCUGGUAGUGGGGGAUAACGCUCGGAAACGGACGCUAAUACCGCAUACGUCCUACGGGAGAAAGCAGGGGACCUUCGGGCCUUGCGCUAUCAGAUGAGCCUAGGUCGGAUUAGCUAGUUGGUGAGGUAAUGGCUCACCAAGGCGACGAUCCGUAACUGGUCUGAGAGGAUGAUCAGUCACACUGGAACUGAGACACGGUCCAGACUCCUACGGGAGGCAGCAGUGGGGAAUAUUGGACAAUGGGCGAAAGCCUGAUCCAGCCAUGCCGCGUGUGUGAAGAAGGUCUUCGGAUUGUAAAGCACUUUAAGUUGGAGGAAGGCAGUAAAUUAAUACUUUGCUGUUUUGACGUUUACCGACAGAAUAAGCACCGGCUAACUCUGUGCCAGC